CUCUGUUCUCCCUCGUCGUUCUGCUGAGCAUUGAGGAAGCUCAUUUUGCCAGAGGUGAAGAUAUUUCCUCGUUCUCUCAGCCUCCCGUUCUCAUGGUAACGUCACUGAUCGAUCAGAGCAGCGCGCGCUUCAUUACGGAGCAUCGGCAGAAAUGCCUGCAGAUGACUAUAACUGGGAGCUAUUAGCUGGAAAACGCAAUGGGAUCACAGCAUGAAGCCUUGUUUGCGGUUUGAGAAAGAUGCUGAUUGUACCUGCUGUGUUGAUUGUAUCUUAAAAUGGUUUGCAUCAUUCGAAUAACAAGAAUCUCAGCUUUCCAAGGAGUUGUUGUAUGUCACAAAGUUAACCCUCAAAAACACGCAGUGUACUGCGGGCAGAACAGUGGAACACUAACAGGUUAACUGCCCCCUCCGUCCGCGUGAAUAGAACGCUCUCUCCGCUCUCAUCCAUCCUGUGAUACGGAGGCCGUCGAAGGAAAUGAGCUCUCGUUCAUCAUUCCUCCCUCACUUCCAACUCACACAAACAAACAAACAAAUAAACACAUAAACAGCCCAUUACCGCCAGUCUCAGGCCUCAGCGAGCUCACGUACGGCCUGGGAAACGCUGGGAAUGAUGAUGUUUUUUUCUCCAUACAAACAUGUCUUUUUUUUCUGAAGGAGUUCAGGCUGGUUUUUGUGGUGAAUCUGUUGAGCGCUGUAUACGGCUCAGUGCUCGGUCUGACAGGCGUCUCAGCACAGCUGUAUUCUGCAUGCGUGUAUGUCUGUGUGUGUGUGUGUGGGCUGUACACAUGCUUUAACACUUGUUUGCUGUUCUCGUCUCAUCUCAGGGCCUCACCUGUGCCAGGUAAACAUCUGCUGCCGGCUCCCAGCAGGCAUUGCUCUGGGUGAGGGUGUGGCAUGCUCGUCUUGUGUGGCGGUGCUGCAGGUGGGCUCCGGCGGCUCGAGGGACUGAUAGAGUUAUUAACAGGUGAUGUUCUGGACAGAGUCCAUCUGACCCCACAGAGCCUUAAAUACAUCACUGUCCAACAGGGACCUCCAGAGACGAUGCCGAGCUUUAUCCGAGAGCUCUGGGUCGCCAGAAAUCGUCACCUAAUGGCUUUGACGGGGGACACACACUCGCCGCGUCUGUGUUUCUUUUGUCUUCAUUCAGAUUGAAAUGGACCGCUUGCAGCUCACGUGUAUCCAUCUUCCAGAACCCCCAGCUGUUCUGGUGUCUGCGGCCCAGCUUCCACGCAUCGCUUUACAAAUUGUCUGUGAAUAGUGUGAAUACCCCCCCACCACCACCACCACACACACACACUACCCCAUUACCGCCAUGUCCUGACAAAUGGUCCAUGUUUCUCUGAACGUGUGCUUGUGUGUUUACUGAUUUCAUCCACUGUUCGGUUGACAUCAAAACAGAAAUAUCAAAAAGCCUGAUUUUAGAUUCAGAAUAUUGAAAGGGAUGAAUCUUUGCAAUAUUCUUUUUCAUACUAUGAGAAUUUAUGAUGACUAUCCUUUGUCUGUCCUUUUAAAUGUCCUCAGAUGAUUGCAUCAGACUGAGCUCAGGUCACUGAUUCUGUAUUAGGUGUUAUAUUUCACAGAUGUCCAUUGUUUCAUGUGUCAUCAGCCCUGCUGGUUUGUAAGAACUGCAUCUUUUAUUAAAAAAAAAAGAGUUUGAUGGAAUGGAAAGGAAACAGAUUAUAGAAA
ensembl:lncRNA